UACGUAGGGUGCAAGCGUUGUCCGGAAUUAUUGGGCGUAAAGAGCUCGUAGGCGGUCUGUCGCGUCGGAUGUGAAAAUCCAGGGCUCAACCCUGGACCUGCAUUCGAUACGGGCAGACUAGAGUUCGGUAGGGGAGACUGGAAUUCCUGGUGUAGCGGUGAAAUGCGCAGAUAUCAGGAGGAACACCCGUGGCGAAAGCGGCUCUCUGGGACGGUACUGACGCUGAGACGCGAAAGCGUGGGGAGCAAACAGG
rnacentral:rRNA from 1 species